rnacentral:rRNA from 1 species
GACGAACGCUGGCGGCGUGCCUAAUACAUGCAAGUCGAGCGAAUCAAUAGGAGCUUGCUCCUGUUGGUUAGCGGCGGACGGGUGAGCAACACGUGGGCAACCUGCCUGUAAGACUGGGAUAACACCGGGAAACCGGUGCUAAUACCGGAUAAUCCUUUUCCUCUCAUGAGGAAAAGCUGAAAGUCGGUUUCGGCUGACACUUACAGAUGGGCCCGCGGCGCAUUAGCUAGUUGGUGAGGUAACGGCUCACCAAGGCGACGAUGCGUAGCCGACCUGAGAGGGCGAUCGGCCACCCUGGGAAUGAGACACGGCCCAGACUCCUACGGGAGGCAGCAGUAGGGAAUCUUCCACAAUGGACGAAGGUCUGAUGGAGCAACGCCGCGUGAGCGAUGAAGGCCUUCGGGUCGUAAAGCUCUGUUGUUAGGGAAGAACAAGUGCUAGUUGAAUAAGCUGGCACCUUGACGGUACCUAACCAGAAAGCCACGGCUAACUACGUGCCAGCCGCCGCGGUAACAC